UGUUUGGAGCUUCUUUUUGGUGAGCUAUGAAAAUGUUCUAAAAUUGUGGAGAUGGAGGUGCAACCCUUAAUAUACUCGGUGUACACUGGGGAUGGGCGAGUGUGAUGCUCUGUGAAUUAUAUGAUUGAACAGUGAAUACUUGGAGACCUCUCAGACAGCAGUACCUGGGAGGUCUCUGUACUGUUCUUGCAACUUUUCUCUCAGUAUGACAUUAUUUCCAGUUCAAAAGUUAAGAAAGUGAACAGGCCGGGAUGGGGAAGGAAUGACCAAUGCUGUGGAGAGGAGGGGUGACAGAGCACAGGGCCAGGCGGGAGGAGCACAGGGGGGAUCAGUGGAUGGGGGGGGGAGGAGGGGAGCAGGACAGACAACGGGAGGUCUGUGGGUAGUGGUCAAGGCCCGGGGGGAGGUCUGGUGGAGGUCCGGUGCCGGGUUCAUGUUAAAAGGCUGCAGAGGCUGCAGUGGGGAUGGUCUUACUGAGACCAUCGGUGUUAUCAGCAGGGAUGGCCACAUGUGGAGUUGUUUGUUUCUUCCCAAGUUGAAGUGAUGACAGUUUGAAAUGAUGCUCUCUCCUUCUUCUGUUUACGUUUUUAAGAUUCGCUGUAUUCUGGAAAGGCUGCUGGUCCUAAAGAACAGUGUCAUGCAGAGGAUUCGGGCCGUGAGCCUGAGCCCGUAGAGAAACAGAGGAAAUUGCUAAGAGCGGAGGCAGUUGACAGGUGGACUUCAGGGUUCUAUGUCUGAACUCUUCCCAGUGGAUGGGGAGAAGAAUUCCCGAGCUGAGCUCUCUAGGAGCCUGGACAGAGCCCCCAGCAGCUCCUUGAGGAGCUGCUGGGGGACAACAUGGCCCUGGAGGCGGAGCAGGGCCUAAGGAUCAACGAGUCCGACCACCAGAGCGCGGAGCUGGGCCAGGAGUCAGAAGGUAGGCAGCAGCCCCUGGCACUGGGGAGCCGGCCUGGCUGCAGCUUCUCCCUCAGCCAGGGAGCUGAGCUCUUGGCUCUGAAUCUCCUGGGUCAGCCCAACCUCAGCCCAAGUCCAUGGGGUUUGAUUCAAGGGCU